GCCGAGGUUUCUGCUCUUGUUGAGGCCCCAGUGGAUCACGAUUAUUGCUGAGUGACAUGGCCGGUGUUGCGUCUGCAUGCUGUGAAAGCCCAGCCCACAGACAAAAGAGGACAACUGAAACCUUAACAUUCAAGAAGUGUCUCUCUGAUGCCUGCUGUGUUGACGUUCAUUUGUUGUUGUAGUUCAUUUGUAGUCAUCACUGCAAUAACUUUAAAAGUAGUUGGCAGUGUAGUUUUUUUUUGUCUUGUCAUUUUUUCUAACUUGUUAUUCUCACAAAAAUGCACAUAAUUGUGAGGCAUGUUCUGUUAAAAUACAUUGUAGAUUACAGCUAAUUUACGAGAGAGAAAUAGGCAAAUGUGGAGUAUUGAUGAAAAGAUUUGCAAAAAGUGAGUUUUGUCAAAACAUAAUGAAUUAAUGCGUUGUCAAUGUGUCAUUUGAAUGAACUGUCUGAAAUGUAACCACAAAAUAAAUUCUUGAAGCAUCUUUUGAGCAGUAGCAACAAAAACAGACUUUGAGCAUAAAUGCUUUAAAUUUUUGAGAUUUUCCCUAUUAAAUGUGACUUACAGUAAUCCUUAUUUCGAUAUGAUGGGUCAUAUAUUUGAUACAAUCACAUUAGCUGUUCAUAACAGUCUGUCUUGUCUAUAAUAUGAUUUAUGGCUAGACAAUCAAAGUCCCUGCAAUGACAGUUCGUCUUUGUGUGUUUGAAAGCUUUACAUGCGCACUAUGUAGGAAUGUGAUUCAAAAAAAUACAGUUACAAUUUCAUGAAAUAUAUUAGUGUUUGGCCGAAGCCCUCAGACAGAUUUUAAUGUUUGGAAAACCUUUGGGUAGCCUCUUGAGAUAAGUACAUAAACUGAAACAGACUAGUGCUUCCUAUAUUACAAAUCUGCUAAUUAUUCUAAUGAAAUAGAACUUUCUGCAGUUUUUGGGGAGAUCACCUCCUAAGAAAUGUCAGUACAGAAACUACUUGUGCUCAUUUUCAAUCAAUACUUUUACUUUUAAUAAUUUAUUCCUAUAGGAUUUUGAAAUGCGGACAGAACUGUGUUAUAAACAAAUACACAGAAGUUUUAAAGACAAAUGUUUAUUUAAAAGAACAGUGAAUAACUGCAAACCGAAAAA